GACGUAGGGGGCCAGCGUUGUUCGGAAUUACUGGGUGUAAAGGGUUCGUAGGCGGUGUGGCAAGUCGGGAGUGAAAUCUCUGGGCUCAACUCAGAGACUGCUUCCGAAACUGCUGUGCUGGAGUGUGGGAGAGGCGCGUGGAAUUGCAGGUGUAGCGGUGAAAUGCGUAGAUAUCUGGAGGAACACCGGUGGCGAAGGCGGCGUCCUGGACCAACACUGACACUGAGGAGCGAAAGCCAGGGGAGCAAACGGG
rnacentral:rRNA from 1 species